rnacentral:rRNA from 1 species
CCUACGGGGCGCAGCAGUGAGGAAUAUUGGUCAAUGGACGCAAGUCUGAACCAGCCAUGCCGCGUGAGUGAAGAAGUAUUUCGGUAUGUAAAGCUCUAUCAGCAGGGAAGAAAAUGACGGUACCUGACUAAGAAGCCCCGGCUAACUACGUGCCAGCAGCCGCGGUAAUACGUAGGGGGCAAGCGUUAUCCGGAUUUACUGGGUGUAAAGGGAGCGUAGACGGCAGAGCAAGUCUGAAGUGAAAGCCCUCGGCCCA